UGACGACAUGUUUGAUUGAGU
rnacentral:misc_RNA from 1 species